rnacentral:rRNA from 1 species
GACAGAGGGUGCAAACGUUGUCCGGAAUUAUUGGGCGUAAAGAGCUCGUAGGCGGUUUGUCGCGUCUGCUGUGAAAACUCAGGGCUUAACUCUGAGCUUGCAGUGGGUACGGGCAGACUAGAGUGCGGUAGGGGAGACUGGAAUUCCUGGUGUAGCGGUGAAAUGCGCAGAUAUCAGGAGGAACACCGGUGGCGAAGGCAGAUCUCUGGGCCGUUACUGACGCUGGAGGAGCGAAAGCGUUGGGGAGCGAACAGG